UACAGAGGUCUCAAGCGUUGUUCGGAAUUACUGGGCGUAAAGGGCGCGUAGGCGGCCCGCUAAGUCGAACGUGAAAUCCCCGAGCUCAACUCGGGAACUGCGUCCGAUACUGGCGGGCUUGAAUCCGGGAGAGGGAUGCGGAAUUCCAGGUGUAGCGGUGAAAUGCGUAGAUAUCUGGAGGAACACCGGUGGCGAAGGCGGCAUCCUGGACCGGCAUUGACGCUGAGGCGCGAAAGCUAGGGGAGCAAACGGG
rnacentral:rRNA from 1 species